rnacentral:rRNA from 1 species
GGGGGUACUCGAGCGGCGAACGGGUGAGUAACACGUGAGUAAUCUGCCCUUCACUUUGGGAUAACUACCGGAAACGGUGGCUAAUACCGGAUACGACAUCUCCUCGCAUGGGGUGGGUGUGGAAAGUUUUUUCGGUGGGGGAUGUGCUCGCGGCCUAUCAGCUUGUUGGUGGGGUAAUGGCCUACCAAGGCUUCGACGGGUAGCCGGCCUGAGAGGGUGACCGGCCACACUGGGACUGAGACACGGCCCAGACUCCUACGGGAGGCAGCAGUGGGGAAUAUUGGACAAUGGGCGGAAGCCUGAUCCAGCAACGCCGCGUGAGGGAUGACGGCCUUCGGGUUGUAAACCUCUUUCAGUACCGACGAAGCGCCGGUAAUGGUGGUGACGGUAGGUACAGAAGAAGCACCGGCCAACUACGUGCCAGCAGCCGCGGUAAUACGUAGGGUGCGAGCGUUGUCCGGAAUUAUUGGGCGUAAAGGGCUCGUAGGCGGUUUGUCGCGUCGGGAGUGAAAACGCCGGGCUUAACUCGGUGCUUGCUUUCGAUACGGGCAGACUAGAGGCAUGCAGGGGAGAACGGAAUUCCUGGUGUAGCGGUGAAAUGCGCAGAUAUCAGGAGGAACACCGGUGGCGAAGGCGGUUCUCUGGGCAUGUCCUGACGCUGAGGAGCGAAAGUGUGGGGAGCGAACAGGAUUAGAUACCCUGGUAGUCCACACCGUAAACGUUGGGCGCUAGGUGUGGGGCCUAUUCCAUGGGUUCCGUGCCGCAGCUAACGCAUUAAGCGCCCCGCCUG